UACCGCAUAAGAGUAGAUGUUGCAUGACAUUUGCUUAAAAGGUGCAAUUGCAUCACUACCAGAUGGACCUGCGUUGUAUUAGCUAGUUGGUGGGGUAACGGCUCACCAAGGCGACGAUACAUAGCCGACCUGAGAGGGUGAUCGGCCACACUGGGACUGAGACACGGCCCAGACUCCUACGGGAGGCAGCAGUAGGGAAUCUUCGGCAAUGGACGGAAGUCUGACCGAGCAACGCCGCGUGAGUGAAGAAGGUUUUCGGAUCGUAAAGCUCUGUUGUAAGAGAAGAACGAGUGUGAGAGUGGAAAGUUCACACUGUGACGGUAUCUUACCAGAAAGGGACGGCUAACUACGUGCCAGCAGCCGCGGUAAUACGUAGGUCCCGAGCGUUGUCCGGAUUUAUUGGGCGUAAAGCGAGCGCAGGCGGUUAGAUAAGUCUGAAGUUAAAGGCUGUGGCUUAACCAUAGUACGCUUUGGAAACUGUUUAACUUGAGUGCAAGAGGGGAGAGUGGAAUUCCAUGUGUAGCGGUGAAAUGCGUAGAUAUAUGGAGGAACACCGGUGGCGAAAGCGGCUCUC
rnacentral:rRNA from 1 species